rnacentral:rRNA from 1 species
UACGUAGGGGGCUAGCGUUGUCCGGAAUCAUUGGGCGUAAAGAGCGUGUAGGCGGCCCGGUAAGUCCGCUGUGAAAGUCGGGGGCUCAACCCUCGAAUGCCGGUGGAUACUGUCGGGCUAGAGUGCGGAAGAGGCGAGUGGAAUUCCUGGUGUAGCGGUGAAAUGCGUAGAUAUCGGGGAGGAACACCUGUGGCGAAAGCGGCUCACUGGACCAUAACUGACGCUGAUGCACGAAAGCUAGGGGAGCAAACAGG